AAUACUCACUUUAAAGUGGGUAAACAUAAUUUCAUACUCGAUCUCAUAGAUAAAUAUAGAAUUCUGUCGGAUACAGUUUUCUUUCGAUUUCUCCCUUGUAACCGUUACCCGCAAGUGUGUCUGCACUCCCAAACUGACUUGACGAGGGAUCCAUUCUCAUGAACAAACACAACCCCUACACACACCUAGUAGCACAACAAACACAAUCCCUACACACACCUAGUAGCACCCCUUCCUGCAUAUCCAUACAAGACACGAGUAGGCAGGUCAAGGUCCUACGAGGUACCCACUACUCGGAGUACCCUCCCAAAAUGAAAAAAAUGUGUCUGUCAAGUUCAAUUCUUUUUAGAUGGGUUGGUCAAGUUUGACUAGAAAUAUUAUGCUUACACAUAAGACAAUCCCUCUUUUCGAAAGCUUCGCAGGGACUAUUUUACGACGACAGACGAUCGCAUGUAGGGGUUUAAACGUUGACACAAUUUGAGGGUAUUUUUGUAAUUUUUUCUUUAUUUAACAAAGAUUCUUAAUAGAAUAACUAAAAU
rnacentral:lncRNA from 1 species